AUACUUUCCUGGCAAGGGUACCAUAUCAUGAAGGUGGAUUUCCCAGGAUGAGGCUUAUCCAUUGCACUCCAGAUGUGCUGCCUCCUGUGAUUUCACCAAAUAUGGGAAACUCGACUGCAUAAUUUGUAGUAGUGGGGGACUGUGUUUGUGCUCUCCCCAC